rfam:Trichinella nelsoni scaffold355s, whole genome shotgun sequence.
CCAACGGCCCUUUUUAGGGCCAAAAUUUUUUGUAUCAUGUACUUU